rnacentral:rRNA from 1 species
CCUACGGGGGGCAGCAGUGGGGAAUAUUGCACAAUGGGGGAAACCCUGAUGCAGCGACGCCGCGUGAGUGAAGAAGUAUUUCGGUAUGUAAAGCUCUGUCAGCAGGGAAGAAAAUGACGGUACCUGACCAAGAAGCCCCGGCUAACUACGUGCCAGCAGCCGCGGUAAUACGUAGGGGGCAAGCGUUAUCCGGAUUUACUGGGUGUAAAGGGAGCGUAGACGGCAGGGCAAGUCUGGAGUGAAAGGCGGGGGCUCAACCCCCGGACUGCUCUGGAAACUGCCAGGCUGGAGUGCAGGAGAGGUAAGUGGAAUUCCUUGUGUAGCGGUGAAAUGCGUAGAUAUAAGGAAGAACACCAGUGGCGAAGGCGGAUUACUGGACGAUAACUGACGGUGAGGCGCGAAAGCGUGGGGAGCAAACAGGAUUAGAUACCCUUGUAGUC